rnacentral:miRNA from 1 species
GAGCCUGGUGUUGAGGGGAGAAGGAUCCGGGGCUAGUUGGCGUCAGCCUUAUAAUCGCCAACUAUUUCUGUAUCUUCUCUCUUUUCCCUC